UAGUGGCGAACGGGUGAGUAACACGUGGGCAAUCUGCCCUGCACUCUGGGACAAGCCCUGGAAACGGGGUCUAAUACCGGAUAAUACUGUGCCCCUCAUGGGGGACGGUUAAAAGCUCCGGCGGUGCAGGAUGAGCCCGCGGCCUAUCAGCUUGUUGGUGGGGUAAUGGCCUACCAAGGCGACGACGGGUAGCCGGCCUGAGAGGGCGACCGGCCACACUGGGACUGAGACACGGCCCAGACUCCUACGGGAGGCAGCAGUGGGGAAUAUUGCACAAUGGGCGAAAGCCUGAUGCAGCGACGCCGCGUGAGGGAUGACGGCCUUCGGGUUGUAAACCUCUUUCAGCAGGGAAGAAGCGAAAGUGACGGUACCUGCAGAAGAAGCGCCGGCUAACUACGUGCCAGCAGCCGCGGUAAUACGUAGGGCGCAAGCGUUGUCCGGAAUUAUUGGGCGUAAAGAGCUCGUAGGCGGUUUGUCACGUCGG
rnacentral:rRNA from 1 species